UCUUUGCUAGUAUAUCGGUUAGUACACGCGCCUGUCAUUGGUAGUUCUGGAUAUUGGCCGCGCGAAAGCUGGGUUCGACUCCCAGGCAGAGAG